CUUGUAAAAUAGAAAACUCUAAAAUGAAAAGUGCAUACUUUCUGUUUGCCAUGGCUGUGUGCUGGAAAAUAUAUGUUGUGUGAAAAAUUGCUUUAAACACUAUUUUCUUUUAUUUUUUCAUAUAACAGAUUCAUUAAGCAAAGUGCUUUAGAAUUAUACUAAAUUGACUAAUUACAUUCUCUCCAUGCAAAUUUUAAAAACAGUAUCUUUUCUCAACAACCCAAUUAUUUUGAGUUUGUUACACAUGUAAUUGUUUUAGACUUGCAAAAGUCUCUGAUCAAAGCAAAUUGUCAGCUGGAUUGCCACUGUUCAGGGGUACACUGUAUAUUUGGGCUUUUUAAAUUCACAAUAAAAUUAUGAAAUCACCUACGGUACUUUUAUUUGCUUUAUUUUAUUUUAUGUAAGGUAAUUGUAGUGUUCUUUGUGGUUUCUUUGUUUAUUCUCUACAGGGGCUAACACAAGUAAAUAAUUAAAUUUAUAUUUCAUUUAUCUAAAUAAAAAAAUGCACUUAAUAAAAAUUUGCAAUCGUUACUAUUUUAUUUUAAGAGUUCUAAUUCCAUUUUAAUUGCAGCCCUAUCAGUCUAGAUUUCGUGAAUACAUAAAUAAAUCUUGAAGUCUUAACUGUUGCCAUACCUCUGGGUUCUUUGUGUUAUAUGGCAAUAUGCUCCCUUUUCACUCAAAAGAAAAAAGAGAUAGCAGCCUAAGAAAAGCCAAAUAAAAAGUAACUUGAUUAGGGGAAAAGGGACUCAGUAAGACGGAAGAAAUUCUAAGCUCUUUAACUGGUGCUUCUUUGCAUAUAAAUGAGAGAUUAGACAGAAACUAUAUCUUAGUGCCUAUUAGAAUACAUAUGCCUAAUUACAAUAUAUUCAUAAAGUCAGAGUGUAAUUUCCACAAAGGAGAUUACAAACGAAGCACAAGGUCAGAAAAAGCCCCUUCUGUUCUCUCAUAUCAUUAGGAUGAUGAUGCUGAUGCUGCAAAGAACAUGACUCCUCUUCAUUGGUUCUGCUCAGAGAUUGAGGUUUUAAAGACUGAAGGCAAAACCAGUAAUAAAAGCAAGAUGAGUAAGUACUCAUGAGUUUGAUGUUAGUAAAGUAUAUGAAAGUAAAGAGAUAGUUCAUUUGAACUAUGAAAAUGUUUCGAGUUCAUGAGAUAUAACUGACCAUCAACCUCAGCUCUUUAAAGGUAUAAUAAUCCCCUGAGUGUUUAAAAAAAUGAUUUAGUCUUGAUUUUCCUCACUCUUUGAAGACUUCUAAAACAUAAAAAAAAUACAUAGCAAUUAUACUGUGGAAUUAUGUUCACAAAAUCAUUAUCAUAUAAUGAUGACACAAUUCCUAAUUAAUGUGGCUUGUUGAAGUUUCUUUUACCAAAUAACUGCAUUUUCAACAAAAAAAUAUGUCUGAAAACAAUGUUUUUUUAUUCAAAGAGUUGCAUAUGCAUUCUUCCUGAAAAACAAAACAUCCAGUAUACAAUUAAGUGGUUCAGUGCCUUCUCUUGAGCAUGUACCUUUUGCAUCUCAAAAUGAUAGCUUUUCGAAAUGAACUGUCACAUGGAGAAUCACUGAAAAAUUUCUUUCCCAGCAAGUAAAUGUCUAAAAGCUCUUAUGUCUGGUAAUGCCCAGUCACAGUCUUGUCAUUUGAAUUUUAAUGGAUCGCACUUAUCUGUGUCCUGUCUUUCAGGCAUUCAAAAGUCCUUGGAUUAAAUAAAAUUAUAUCAUCCCCAAAGCCAGCCCAAUUACAGCUAAUUCUAUUUUAAUUCAGCCAAAAGGUGACUUGACAGGAGGCAUUUCAAAUGCCAGCAGGUUGGGAAAAAAAGGGUUUCAAUUAUGGAGCUAAUACAUGAAAAGGAUAAUCUUUCAUGAAACUGGUAAGUUUAAAGGAAGAGACUAAAUAUACAUAACAAUAUUAAUCAUUAUAACCAAACAGUUUUUCCAAUUUUUUUGUCAAUCAGCUCCUUAUCAUCUGUAAAGGCUGCGAAAGGUAUACUUCUUUUAUAUUAUCUUUCCAUAAUCAUUUUCUAAUCUGUAGACUGCCUACAAAAGCAAGUGUUGCUUUAUGUUGUUAUAUUUAUCAUACAUCAGUGUACACAUUUUUACAAAUGUCAUGUCAUGCUCUCUUACCUAAUCUUCUUAAUGUAUGCAUGCACGUAUAUAGCAUUAAAACGCAAAAACGCACAACAAGAAUUCAUAAACUAUUUCUUUCUUAUCAUUUGGAUAUUAGAUUAUUCUAUUAUCUUGUUUGUUCUUACUGUAACUGCUUUUACAAACCAGAAAAUAAUAAUAACCUUCCACUGAUGUUACCAGUUAAUGGUCAGCUGUCUCUAUUUUUCUAGGGGCAUAAGGGAGAUUCUGAAAUUAUUUUGGAGUUUAUUGCAUAUGAGAGUUUGAUCGGAGGUGAAUUUUCUGGCCAGUAAUUAUGUUGUUUACUCAAGUGUAUUGGUGAAAAUCUCCUAGUUUGUUCUGUAUUUAUAGAGGGAAAAUAUGCUAGUUGUUUUUGAUGUUUUGUUGAAGUCUUGACCCACUAAAGUUCAGAUUCUCUUCUGCUACCUUCUGUCUACAAUGUCCUUUCACCACAAAGUCCAGUAAUGUCUUUUUCAUAUCAUUAGCCUUGUCGACAUCAGAACUCUUCUUCCCCAUUUAGGUUUAUUCUUCCUAGGAUAUUUCAUGAAAAACUAACAUGAGCAGUUUCUUUUAAGAUUUUCCAGAAACUCUGUGGCCCAACAGAAACUAGUUUGUUUAAUUUAACCAAUCAAAUAAAGUAGAGAUUAAGUAAGGUUAAUGAAUACAAAUGUCAUGUAAGGUGGUUUUUGAAGACCCAAAUAGCAACAGGACAUCAGCAGAUGCACAAUAGAGUGUGGAAUGAAGCAUUUAAAAAUGAGUAAGCACACAUCACACGAUGACAACACAAAAGAAUUGGGGCGACAGCAACUAUAGAAUCCAGGGGUGAGAGAAAAACCAAGGAGCUUCAAUACUGAGAAAAAGUGAAAAGUAACAUAUAAACCAGGUCUUGGCUUCUCAAAGAGUGCUUUUAUUUCAGAGCCAAAUCCAAAUCUGUGCCUGCUCAAACCAUUAAGGCUCAAAAACUAUAGGAUUGCUGAUGGUGGAGAUCCCAGGUAAACUCUCAUACAUUUACAGCUGACUAAUAUUCAUUUUCGCUAUUAUAUUCUUUAAAUACAGUCUUUAAAACAUGCAGAUGAUGCUCUUUUUGUCUACUGUGUCUUUGUGAGUUCUCUCCUCCUACUUUAUGCACAUUCAGUCGCUGUGACUGAUUCCCGCUGAACAUUUGUUCUGUUCCACUCUGGCUUCCCUGUCUGAAAAACAUUCUCAAAGCCAUCAAAAAAGCAAAUGCAAUUGGGAACCGUUUUUUUUCUUGUCAUGACACUAAUUUACUUCCCCUCUCACUUCCAAGGCAAUUAGCUUUGAAGCUCCUCAGAAACCAUUCUUACAGUCUUACUAGUUGAUAGCUAGCAUGGCAAGUCAUAAUUUAAGCUGGUCUGCUGGGUUAUCAGCUGAUAAAAAUAUGAAAUGGGGUCUGAGUGAGAAACAGAAACCUAAAAGACUAAAAGAAGUAAAUGCCCUGGGAGAUAUUACAGAUGAUAUUGUAUUGGAUUGCAUGCAAUGCUUUUUAUACAAAAACACUUUGAUUUAUAUGGGGAUGGCCUUUGCAAGUGUUUAAAAAAACAUAUUUACUUAUUUAAGACCUCUGGGAAGCUGACCUCUUAAUCAGUCGAUCAAUCAAUAAUAAUCAACAUUUGCAUGAUUUGGUGGCCUUU